CAUAAAAACUGAUCAAUCAAUCGUUAUCACGAUCGUGUCUGCACAGUUUCUGCACUAACGCAUAGUUAUGUCGUUUGACACAAGACACGUGUCCUGUGUUUUGCUCUUUAUAAAUAAACAUUGUUCUGAAGGCCUCGACCUGUGAUCACUCUUUACAUUUCUAUUGGCUAAAGACGAAAUCGUAGCAACACGGCUGCACGGUGAGCCCGCGGGGAUCCUCGGUUCUGCACGAAAACAGACAGCGUGUCAGGAAAUAAACGGAACAUCGUUUGCCUCACCUUCUGAAACCGUCCUCCAGCUUGGUUAGAGGACUCUUCGCUUUACUGAAGCAUGCAAAAGAUACAUUUGAAUAGAAGUUGGCUGAGUGUAUUCCCAAGGGUCCAUGAGUUUCUCUUUUUUCCAUCCACUAUGCUGGCGCUCUGAGCUGUUAGUCCAGAUGGUUCGAAGGGGAGGUAGGGGCUUGUUCUCCACAUAGCCCCACAGCAGGCUCUCUGUCCUGGGCAGCACUGACUCGGCUUCCCCCCUGGACCAACUGGAACUCCCCCCUAAACAGUACUGCCAGCAUUAAUCUCCUAAAUGAUCCCGCCAGGAGGAGGAUCAAUACUCAUUUACAGAGAUGCGGCCUGAUCCCUUAAUGUAGAGCAGUGAGGAUGGUUUUCUACAGUCCCCCUCCCCGUGUUGCUGUCUCUCCUUCUAUCUCCUCUCUUCAUUUCUCAUUCACUUCUUCUCUUCGUGACCCAUUCUGUCUCGUUCCUGUUUACCUUCCCAGUGAAAAAAAGUUACAAUUUAGAAAAGAGGUAAAUAGGUUGUAAAGAACUUUAAGGAUCAGCAUCUAUGUUAUCUAAUCCUUUUGUAAGGUAUAACAUUAAUUCAGUCAUCAUAAAUGCUUAUUUUUAUAUAACUAAUAUGUGACCCAGUCUGUGAAAAUCAGGCUAAAAUCUCUAAAUUAAACUCUGAGAUAACAAGCAUUUUGACAGAAUGUUUUUUACAUUAUAAAGAAAUAAAGUAAACUGUUUUACGGUGUAGAUAACAGGUGAAGAAAAUAUAGUUUAUUUGAUUAGAUAAACUUGAUAAAUUGUCUUGUUGUAUGAGAUCAGUUGCUCAAAUAAAAAAUAAAUGUUGAUGAUGUCACCACUGCUUCCAUUAAACUGUGAAUUGGA